AAGACCAAAAUGACAGCUUGCUGUGAGAGACAACGGGACAGAUGAGACACAUGUGUUUUUAUCUGCUGCAGAGACACUGAUGAAGGAAUGCUGCCAUCAAAGGAUUGGUAUCUUUUGUGGUGCAGCAGGGCCUGCAAGGAAAGGUGAAAAAGAGGGAAAACCUGAAACAAAAGAAUAAUGUAGUCGUGCUCAUGGGGUGCAGGCACACGAAAGUUUGGAGCAGACACAGCAGUCAGAUUGUCCUGCACGUAUUCUCCUGCUCGAGCUUCAAGGUUGUGUGGCUCAGAGAGCCGUCAUCAAGGUCUUCUUCAUCCUGUUGCUCAAUGACAUCCCCGUUGAAAAGAGUGAGAUUGUGAAGUGCAGCAGCAGAACUGUAUCAGCUGUGUUCAGAUGGCAGGAGGAUGUUGGGUUCACCAUCUGUUAAUACUUGAUUGUUAGAACAAUAAGUUUGAAUGAAGCUUUGUAUCACGUGUUGU